rnacentral:rRNA from 1 species
GCUACGGGGGGCAGCAGUGGGGAAUAUUGCACAAUGGGGGAAACCCUGAUGCAGCGACGCCGCGUGAGCGAAGAAGUAUUUCGGUAUGUAAAGCUCUAUCAGCAGGGAAGAAAAUGACGGUACCUGAGUAAGAAGCCCCGGCUAAAUACGUGCCAGCAGCCGCGGUAAUACGUAGGGAGCAAGCGGUAUCCGGAUUUACUGGGAGUAAAGGGAGCGUAGGCGGCAGUCAAAGUCUGGAGUGAAAUACCUGGGCUUAACCCCGGGGCUGCAUUGGAAACUGGCCUGCUGGAGUGCCGGAGGGGCAGGCGGAAUUCCUAGUGUAGAGGUGAAAUGCGUAGAUAUUAGGAGGAACAACAGUGGCGAAGGCGGCUUGCUGGACGGUAACUGACGUUGAGGCUCGAAAGCGUGGGGAGCAAACAGGAUUAGAUACCCCGGUAGUC